GAGUUUGAUCCUGGCUCAGGACGAACGCUGGCGGCGUGCUUAACACAUGCAAGUCGAGCGGGGUCCAUCCAGUGGCAACACUGGUGAAGACCUAGCGGCGAACGGGUGAGUAAUACGUGAGGAACCUGUUUUGAAGACCGGGAUAACCCUCCGAAAGGAGAGCUAAUACCGGAUACCCCCUCAGGCCGCAUGACUUGGAGAGGAAAUGGAUUCCGCUUCGGGAGGGCCUCGCGGCCUAUCAGCCUGUUGGUGAGGUAAUGGCUCACCAAGGCGACGACGGGUAGCUGGUCUGAGAGGACGAUCAGCCACACUGGGACUGAGACACGGCCCAAACUCCUACGGGAGGCAGUAGUGGGGAAUUUUGCGCAAUGGGCGAAAGCCUGACGCAGCAACGCCGCGUGGGGGAUGAAGGUUCUCGGGUUGUAACCCCUUUCAGCAGGGACGAUUAUGACGGUACCUGCAGAAGAAGGACCGGCCAACUACGUGCCAGCAGCCGCCGUAAG
rnacentral:rRNA from 1 species